UCAAAGUGAAACACAUCCCUUGAAUCCUUCCCUUCACAUAGAAUGAGUUCAGAAGAACUGAUACCACUGUGAGAAGAUCCAUCUCCAAGAGGUAAUUUCAACUCGACUGAUCUAUUCUAUUUAAUGCUUUCGAAAAUGAACGACAAUCAUUCAACAUAUGAAUUUUUUAUUGCCAUUGCAGUAGCUCAUAUUUUGCAUCACCGGAGACCAUUUUGUUGCUUAGUCAUUAAUUGUCCGGCUGUGUAUUAAAUCCCUUGUUUUGCAUCUUUCUAAUCCGUAAAUUUGGGGUUUUUAUUUGUUCCAUUACUACUAUUGUCUUUGCAUGUUGCGGUAAUUCCUGUAUGCUAUAAAAUUGGUUGACAUCUGUACCUGCAAAAUGAGCAACAUGAUUAGCUAGAAAAUCGGCCAAGCUGUUUCCUUCCCUAAAUGUGUGCACCACCUCCACCUCUACAUUCACCAUCCAUCUUUUUAUACAUUGAAUGUCAACUGAGAUUGACCAUGGAACUUCCCACACUCCAUCCAACAUUUUUUUUAACAAUCAAUGAAUCAGUUUCCAUGAUUAAAGGUAGUAAGCCAUUUUCUAAGCAAUAUUUCAAUCCUGCUCUAAAUGUUUUCACUUUCGCUACAACAGCAGUACAUAUUUCCACAUUUCUAGCUUUAGCAAAGAUUAGGUUGCCUCCCUCAUCUCGAACAUAAAUGGCUGUGGAACCAGGCCCAGGAUUCCCUUUACUGGUGCCAUCAGUAUUGCAUUUGAAUCUACCCAUGGGAGGAUGCUCCCAAUACACAACUGUACUACAGAUUAAUGGUGUAUAUUCCUCCAAUACCUUGACUAUCAAAGGCUAUGUGUUAGGAAGAUUUCUUAGCCAUGGAUAUCUAUUUUUGGCAAAGAGAUACAAAUAAUUGUUAAUCUCCAUAAACAUGGUGUGUGUAGACAUAGUUCCUCCAUUCCUAACAAUGUUUCGUAUCUUCCAUAUUUGCCAAAUAAUGAAGAUAGGAACAACAUGAAGCAAAGGUUUCAUCUUGCUUCCACAAUCAGCUUCCCACCAUAAAUUUAUCACUUGUCUAAAUUGAACCAUUGGCCCUUGAAUACCUGCUGCUUCUGCAAAAAAUUUCCACACACUAUAAGUUGUAGGGCAAUGAAUAAAAAGGUGAUCACAUGUCUCCUCUACAUUAGUGUUGCAAAUACAACAUUUGACAGAAUCAGUAACUCUUAGUCUCACCAGUACCUCUCUACUAGGAAUUCCCAUAUACCACAGUCUCCAUAUUAAAAAUGAGAUUUUAAAAGGCAACCCUUUCUCCCAUAUAAACAUUAUCUUCUUAAUCGUAUCUCUUCUUCCCUUCAUUAGAUUCCAAGCACUGCCAACAGAAAAUUUGCCUAUAUUAAUAGGCAUCCACCAUGGCUUAUCUCUAUCAUCAGAUUUAUGAAUGUUGGCCAACUUCAUACAAAUGUGAUUACUGACUUCUUCAGUAACAAUCUCAUUUAACAAAGUGUUAUUCCAACCCUCCUCAAGCAUUAGUUGAUUUACAUAUUUUAUGUGACUAUGAACAUGGUCAACGGGCAAGUAGUAGUGUAAUGCUCCCAAUUGUGUCCAGUUAUCAAACUAAACACUACACUGACCAAAUUUGGGCUCCCACCAAAUCUCUUGUUCCAUGAAGUCUCUAACUUAUAGCAUGAGUUUCCAUACCUGAGAGCCGCCUCUCCAUUCUACUACUUGAGGGCUAUAUUUUUUACAGUACUUGUUCCACAUAAAGUUAGACCAUAAUGUAUUAGUUGUCCUAAAAUUCCACCAUAAUUUAGCAAAGAGUGCCUUAGAAACAUCAAAUAGAGAUCUAAAACCAAGCCCUCCUUCCUCCUUUGGUAAACAUAUGUCAUCCCAAGCAAUCCAGUGCUUAGCCUUUCCACCCUCCUUGAAAUUCCAUAGGAAUUUAGCAAAAAUCCUAUGAAUAUCAUAAAUAACACAUUUUGGGGGACAAAUAGCAGAUAACAAGUAUAUAGGAAUACUUUGUAACACAUGAUUAAUCAACACUGCUUUACCUCCAAAAGACAACAAUUUGCCUUUCCAAACCUGCAAUUUGGUUUGAAUCUUCUUAAUUAGCUCUGAAAAGUGUACCUUCUUCUUUUUAGCAUGUCCAAUAGGACAUCCAAGAUAAGUCAAAGGAAAGCAUCCUCUAGUAAACCCUGCAGAAUCCUCCACCUCUUGAACAAUAGCAUGUGCAGUCUUGUUGAACAUGUAAAAGAAACUCUUCCCUUUAUUAAUAAGUUGGCCUGACUGAGCUUCAUACAAUUGAAGAGUUUCCAUUAUUAAUUGGAGAUAUCUCUAGAGGAAAGCAUCCUCUAGUAAACCCUGCAGUAUCCUCCACCUCUUAAACAAUAGCAUAUGCAGUCUUGUUGAACAUGUAAAAGAAACUCUUCCCUUUAUAAAUAAGUUGGCCUGACUGAGCUUCAUAUAAUUGAAGAGUUUCCAUUAUUAAUUGGAGAGAUCUCUAGUUUGCAGAUGCAAAUAUGAUGGUAUCAUCUGCAUAAGCAAGAUGAUUCAAUUGAUCACUCCAUUUGGGCAAUCCAAAACUCUUAAAUUCAUAAUUGUAAAACAAAUGAUUAAGAGCCUUUGUUAACACUUCUGUUGUCAAGAUGAAAAGAGCAGGAGAUAAGGGAUCCCCCUGCUUUACCCCUCUAGUAGAAUGAAAAAAUCCAUGAGCCUGACCAUUAACCAGUGCAGAGUACCAAUUAUUGGCUACCAACCUCCAAACCAUAUCCAACAUCUUGUUGUCAAAGCCCAUUUUCUCUAAGACUCUAAUCAGAAACUUCCAAUCUACCCUAUCAUAAGAUUUAGCCAUAUCCAAUUUGAUGACCAAAUUAGUAGGCUUCCCUCUCUUUCUUAUCUCUGAGAUUGUUUCUUAUGCCAAUAACACAUUUUCAGUGAUAUUUCUUCCUUUCACGAAUCCUGACUGAUUAGGAGAAAUUAGCUUUGGCAAGAUCCCCUCCAACCUAUCAUGAAGAAGUCUGGAAAUAAUCUUAUUAAGAAAAUUACUCAAACGGAUUGGCCUAAGGUCUGAAAAAGAUUGAAUGAUAUCUUUUUUAGGUAUUAGGACUAGGUUGGUAUGAGUGAUAGACUUAGGCAAAGAAUGACCCUAAAAAAACAUGAACCACCUUCACGAUAUCUGGCCCAACUAUAUCCCAACAAGUCUGAUAGAAGUGACCUGUAAACCUAUCUGGACCACAAGCACUAUCAGCAUUAAGCUCAAAUACCACUUUUUUGAUUUCAUUCUCUAGAGGUAAUGCAGUCAAUCUAUCAUUUUCAUCUUGUUUUAUUUGGGGUUGUUUGUACUGUAACAAAGAUGCUUCAGAAUCAGUAGCUCCCCUAGUGAAUUGGUCUUUAAAGCUCACUGCCUCUUCUGCAACUUGUUUAUCCCCCAUAGCCCAAGAGCCAUCUGUUUUCAACAUUCUGUUAAUAGUUAACUUUUUUCUUCUUCCUUUUACCAAACAAUGAUAGAAUCUAGUAUUUCUAUCUCCUUCCUCAAACCAUUGCACCCUUGCCUUUUUCCUCCAAUACUCUUCCUCAUAGUGAAUAUAGAGCUUUAGUUCAGCUUGAGCUUGCUGCAAUACUACUCUAUUUUCUGGGGAUGGACAUUCUUCAAAGUAUUCUUCUUUCACUCUCACAAUUUCCUCCCUAAUGGCCAAUUGAUUAAAGAUGUCUCCAAAUUUCUCCUUGAUCCACUUUGAUAGUGCAUGUUUAGUUCUUUUUUGCUUCAACUUUAGUUGAAUAUAUAUAUCAUCCACAUCUUCAGACACCCAAUUUUGUUGCACCACUUCUUUAAAGUCUUCUCUUUCUGUCCAGAACUUUAGAAACUUGAAUGGUCUAACAAUAGUAUGAAUGUUAGCCCCACAAGUUAACAAUAAUGGAGCAUGAUCAGACCCUGUUCUGGCCAGAUGCUGCAAACUAGUGUGACCAUACAACUCUGAAAACCUUUGAUUCACCACUACUCUAUCAACCCUUUUGAAAAUGCAAUCUUCAUUUACUCUACCAUUCCACCAAGUAAAAGGACUUCCAGAGAAGUUGACAUCAAAUAGAUCACAAAAAUUAAUACAGAAGGCAAAAUCUUCAUAUUCUUGAGGAUACAUAGGUAAACCUCCAAUUUUCUCCUCUCCCCCCAUUAUUACAUUGAAGUUUCCACCCAUCAUCCAAGGUAAUGAAAAUUUAUGGCUAAAGGAGUAAAUGUCAUCCCAAAGUCUUAAUCUUUCCUGUGCAGUACAUUUAGCAUAAACAACUAUUGUAAUCACCUGAUUAUCAGCGUCCAAAGUAAGAUGUAGGGUGAGUUAUUGCUUAGUGUCUGAAAUAAGUCCCACUUGAAUAUGAUAUUUGAUAAAAAUCCAAAUCUGACCAUUACUAUUAUUAUUCACAUAGCUCAUCCCCAACCUCCUUUUAUAUCUUUGAAUAUGUCUGGAAUCUUGAAAUGGUUCCAUCAGAGCAAUAAUAUCAAACUUAUGAUGAUUGUUUAACAUUUGCACUCUAUGAAAAGCAUUAUGUGUGUUUACUGAUCUAAUAUUCCAAAACAAAGUUUUUAUUGUCAUUGAGAUACUUCUCCCCCCUCCCCCCCUUUGGCCUGAAUCCUUGUUGGAAUGCUACUGAUUGAAAUUUCCCCCUUACUUUUACCUUUUCUGGCUUUAGGUAUAGCUUUAGGAGAUAAACAUGCAUCCCUACUUAUUUUACUGAUGUUGUUGUUGUGUUCCUCUUCUUUAUCUUCUUCCCUUUGUCCCCCAUUCCUUUUUCAGUAUUUGGCAAUGCUAAAACUUCCUCAACAUCUGCAGGUUCCUUGCACUAUCCCUGGUGUGACACAAUUCCAUGUAACAUAUUCAUUGGAGGUGAUUUCCUCUCUACCCCUAUCAAUACUAUCUCCUUACUAUCCUAACCAAUAUGUCUCUCAAUAUUCCAUACUUGUUUCUGAAUAAAGUCAUGUGGAAAUCUUCCCUCAACUGCUAUGACAACUUGAAGUGGAGUCUGAUCAAUCACAGUUGCCAUUUCCUUCAUAAAUUGGAGAUCAUUCUAAUUAUCCAGAGUUGUAUAUAUCUCUAAUUGCUUCUCCACAUUAAUGCCUUCAGUAUUUUGCUCUGUAGAAUCUUCCCCUUUAGUAGUUGUGGUCUGCUCAAUGGUAUCUUCUUCAUCUGUAGAUUCCACUUUCUUUUCCUCUUCAAUUUCACUACUAUGAGUACUCAUUUCUGAUGAUUUAGAGGUAGUAAGAUAUUUAUGCUCUUGUAUUGCUGCUAUACUUUGUUGCACAUCAUUAUCUGGACAUUUGUUCUUGUUAUUUUUUGUUGUAAACUAACUGUUUAUCCACUUUUUUGUGGACAUUUGUUGUUCUUCUGUCCUCCCUGUGAUUGGCUUCUCCUUUUCUUGUAGAUUCUCUGUAUGAGCAACAUCUGAGCUGUGAUUUUCUACUACAUCAAAAGUGUUAGCAGUGGCAACACCUUCCUCC
rnacentral:lncRNA from 1 species